rnacentral:rRNA from 1 species
CAGCCGCCGCGGGAAUACGUAGGGUGCGAGCGUUAAUCGGAAUUACUGGGCGUAAAGCGUGCGCAGGCGGUUGUGUAAGACAGGUGUGAAAUCCCCGGGCUUAACCUGGGAACUGCGCUUGUGACUGCACAGCUAGAGUAUGGCAGAGGGGGGUGGAAUUCCACAUGUAGCAGUGAAAUGCGUAGAGAUGUGGAGGAACACCGUUGGCGAAGGCAGCCCCCUGGGCCAAUACUGACGCUCAUGCACGAAAGCGUGGGGAGCAAACAGGAUUAGAUACCCCGGUAGUCCCUGUCUCUUAUAC